rnacentral:misc_RNA from 1 species
CCUUUCCGCGUCCACGUGUGAGACCACCUGGACGGUCAGGCGUCUCAAAGAGAGGCCGUCCGCUGUCCAUCGUCCAUAUCACGAUUCCCCUUCCUCUUCCUGACUAUCGUGGCACGCAUACCUUUCCGCUCUGCCGCCCCCUCCGCGACACACCGUGGGACCCGAGAUUCACGCAGGACUGCGCGCUCGUCGCCCACCCACGCCUCGCAGACGCAGUGGCUGCGGCAGCGCAUGCCCACACAUCUGCAAGCACCACAGCACCCAAACUGAGGUUUUCGAUCGUUGUGGCUCUGCUUCUGCCCUACUUGGGCCACGCUGUGGGGCGGCCGGCUGCUCGAGGCGUGUAUCUGUACGCGGAGCGCUUCCUUUUGGUUUCUUUGCGCAGAAGCUUCACGCACUCGUGUCCGCCUUCCCCAAGACGUCGGUGACGGGCCGGUCUGGCACCGCCGUAGGGAGAUCUGUGGUACGUAACAUCGGCGCAGAAAACAGCUAGCACUUCUGCCCCUCCAUCCCUUCCCACCCCCAAACAGUGCAGGCGUGUCUUACGUCGAGGCGCUGAGCGAGGUGCUUGAGUUGUGACCACCACCACGGCGGACUUCGGCGAGCAGCAGCAGCAGCAUCGGUAGAGUAGAAAUCGAGAAGGUGACAGAGAGAUCGGAAAAGCGCCAUAGAGCACAAGCAAGUGUGCGCAUCGCUGCCGCCAUAACGACGUGGCGCUCGUGGUUACGUCUCUCUCUGCGCAAUCCGACGAGAGAGGUGCGGCUGCCAAAAAAAAAAAACAAGAGCGGUCCUCCAGCUCCAGUGAAUCGCCCCCCCCCCUCGCACCUUCGCACUCCUCCCUGCUCCUUACGUGCACUCACAGUGCAACGUAUUAGCGUUCGUGCUCUUGCGCUGCCGAGGCAACGGGGCCCGUCGUGGCAGGGGUAAGGAGCGCUUGCCAAGUCUUGCGCGCGUGUCCGCGCUGGCCCUCGUGAUCAAGAAAGGAUUGCGCGCACGCAAACGAAAGGCGUGUCGUAGAGCAAGCGGCGGUGAGGGCGGAGCGAGCUGGUUCGGACAGCCACGCGCCUACGUGCGUUGCGACAGCGUGGCUGCACGACCGAAGGAGGAAGGGAAAAAGGGCGGUAGCGAAUAAAGGGGAGGCGCCCUGACACUCACAGAACGAGGCGCACAGCGCGUACAUGUAUAAGCCAUCCACACCAACCAAACGACGCGGCCGGUGUCUCCCAGGCAAGCUGCGACACAAGCCGAAACCGGGAGAUCAGGAGACUAGCGCGAGCGAAAAGGAAAGCGCUCGGCCGGCGCCGACGUCCUCGACACCGAGUGUGGGCACUAGCAGCAGCGGCGGCGGCCAUUGUGAAUCUCUCACCGCACCAUUCUCCUCGACGCCAUCAACGUCUGGCGAAAUUGGACAGACACACACGCGCCGAUCCUUGAGACACAGUAUCAUUCAGAGCGGUGGCGGAUUCGGCUACCUGCGCGUGACCACAGAAACCCCAGAACUGGCACCGUCUCCCGCAAGCACAAAUACGGGACUGGGUAGCAGAGCAGACACGUUCUCUCGAGCGCCCGCACCAACGUCGUCACCAAAGGAGUUGCACGAAGACACCAAAGCAUGGCCACCGGGGCAGCAGCCGCGAACGCAAGCCUCGUCUCCGUCCUUCCCAAACCCCAGCACACCGGCGGAAUCGUCACUAGCGAGGCUGCGGGCUUUAGCGGGGCUGACGCCCUUGCGCAUGUCCUCGCAUGAUCCUCAGGCGUUCUUGUCAAACUUAUACCGCAACGAGGAGUCGCCCCUCCGUCAUUCGUGCGACGCCAGAUCCGAGCUCGGUAGCAGUGGCCCGUCGUCGGCGUCAUCGUCGCGCGUGUCGUCGCCGUACACUCCCGAUCUCGUACGGCGGCUGUCCUUCCUAAACGGCACGUCCGCGCAGACCACGCUGGCUCUGGUGCAGAGGGACCGACUGAAGCACCUCCGCAGCGGUGCGCGAAAGCCACCGUCACCGCCCAUCGCCCCAUCGUUUCAUAACGAAGAAGAGAGCGCUGGCCAGCAGUCCAAAGGGCCGCCAGCGGUGCAGACUGUCAACGGCACGGCGGCUUCCGCUGGUCGCGGUCCCUUCCUCACCCCGUCGCUGGGUCUCGCCGACCUGCGCGCCUCAGCGUCGACAUUAUAUCGCAACGAAGAAGACACUGAUGGCGAUCAUCGUUCUGGCACGGAGAGCAGCUCGGCGCGGUCGACUAAGUCGCUGCUGAGUCGCCUACGCGCCUCCAGCCCGUGCCCAACCUCAGCUGCUGAGUGCGGUAGCGAUUCGCAUCCUUACAUCCCACCCAAGGACGGCGUGGCUGGCGGUGGGUCUGUCGUCGGUGGGGCACCGACGCCUCACGAGCUACCAACAGGAUUACCGUGGAAGUCAGCCGCGACGCUCGUGGCGCCCAGGCCGCUCGCGGAGCCAUCUCCCUCGCCAGGGACGGGCCGGCCUCAGCCAUCCGACAUCUCAACACGGCUCGCGCAGCUGCGCGAACGAGCAUCGGCGUCGCCGACAUUGUUGCCUCCCACCGCGACAGUGGGGGCCUCUGUGGUGUCGCGAACGGGGUCGGCGCAGGCGCCGCCGCAGCAGCCGCAUUCUCUCGUGAACCUUUCCCGUCUGCGUCGGCUCGCCAACCUCCAGCACCCGCAUCCACAACCGUCGGCGCAGCGGUCGGGUGCAACACUGAAUGAGGACCGUGAAAGCAGGCCAAGCCCGACACCAGCAGCGGCUCUGGAAGCCGCGCUUGAGCGUACACUGCAGCACCGCGUGCUGGCGGAGGCCACCGCCGCACGCGGUGACGCCACCCCAACGCCACCUGCAGCGAUCGACAGCGACGAGCCCUACUUGGACCCAGUCGAAGCGCAGGAGCGUGCCGCGCGCCGCCACAAGUCAGAAAACGCAUUGCCGUCACACGAGAGCGGUGCGAAGCAGGACCGCAACCACGCAGCCACCAAAAUGAGUAUGCCCCGCGCGCCACCGCGAAAAGGUGCGGUGUCCAAGACAGCCAAGAAGGAGAGUGCGGCGGCGGCUGUGGUGCUCAAGGGCCACCUGGGAAAGGGCACCCGCGGCAACACCUGCCACGCGAGCAUCGUGACGCCCUCAACGGCACCGAAGGACAAGAUCGGCACGGCCGCGGUCGAAGGCGCCGUGAAGUGUGCGAGCAACCCAGUGCGGGCGAAGCAGCUGAUGAACAAGUUGCGCAGCCUGGCCGCCCCGGUGCCGGUCGGCGAGGCAGCAGGCGAGAAGAACCCGGAGGCUGUACCCAAUCCGUUUCUCGGGAGCGCCGUAGCACCGCCGGUGCACUACCUGCGCGAGUGCCUAUCGCAGCAGCCAUCACCUUUGGCGCCGAACAAGGCAGACAAGGCGCUCUUGAGAAGCGUGUCGUUGUUACCGCCGUCCUGGUCGACCUCCUCGCCGUUCGCUGCGCUGGCCUCGCCGUCGCUUCACGCGGCGCUGACGCAAGCCUCGGCGGCACUCCUCAAAGAGCGCGGCACCGCUGGCAGUGCCAAGGGCUCGGAUGAUGUCAGCGAUGGCGAGGAGCAUGCGAGAGCGCCCUCCUCUUCCUCCUUCGCCUCUGUAUCCCCACACUAUUCUUACCCGUCCAUGAUGACUCGCAGCGCCACUGCGGCGGCGGCUGCCGCGGUAGCCGCAGCGGCCAAGACGACACCGGCAACGACGAUGAUGGCCGCCACCAGCAUGGCCGGCACGACUCGUGUAUUCUCAAAGGCGAGCACACUUACUGCCAGCGCCCGAAGCCGCAAGAACAGCACUGACAUGCGGUGUUUCGUCUUCGACACCUCCUCUCUCCUCGACUCCGAGCCGGGCGUGAUGAACUUGAUCUUGGAGAAGUCGUUCAUUGGUAUCCCCUUCACUGUGCUCGACGAGCUGGACCGCAUGCACAAGGACCGUGGCGGCAGCGCCAAGGACGACCACGCCGUCACCGCCGCCGCAUCCACCGCUGGUGUGAACAGCACCCACGAUCGCGAGUGGCGCCGGCAACGGGCUCAUGAGCUGCGCAACUGGAUUGCGGCGUGCUUGAGCAAUGAGGCACAGAGUCACCUAUGGCUGCAGAAACGGACGGAGGUGGUCCGGGAAUACGACAGGCAUGCCACGACCAAUGAUGACCGCAUUCUCGGCUACGCCGUCUACCUCAGUCAGCACCAGGCCGCGAAGGUGCUCUUCGUUACCGAGGACAAGUUCCUGCGCAUCAAGGCGAGCUCGGAGCUGGGAAAGGCGUACGCGUACAGCGACAUCCGCAAGUUGGUUGGCAUGCCGCCACUCCCGACAGCGUCGUCGACGGCAGCGCAAGGGAGGAGUGGCAAGAAGUAGAAGACAGCAGCGCUGGAGAGGCAGGAAGGGAGGUUGAAAUUUUCGUACGAGUACAGGUGAUCAUGUGGCACUAGAUACGAGGACGCCUUGUGUGCGGCACCGGCCCCACCUCCUUCCCACUCGGAUCACGUCCUUAUCGCCCGUAGCUCCCCUGCGCAAUGUAUACAUGUGCGUGUGGUCGUGCUAAGGAAUGAUACUUGCCUUCUGCGCGGCUAGGUACCAGCUGCUGCUGCUGAAGGGUGUUGCGCGCGUGUAGGUCAAGCUCGUUACAGGCCCCUCACCCUAUGCGACCGGAGUCACCACCCUCCCCGCUUGCAUCGUCUCCGCUCAUCCGCCUACUCCGUCAUUUCAACUGCCCUGUUCUGCUCGUACUCGCGCAAAGGGAUCGGGUGGCCCGUAGGACCGCUGCAGCCGCCUCCGCGUCUUCUGUCCACGCCCCAUUCGCUGUUGUCCAGCUGCUCCGCGAGAGUGCGGGGUGAUGCUGGGAGGUGUUCGUGCGGAGCGGAGAUGGUGGUGGGGGAAGGGACGCAGGCAGUGACGACGCUUGAGUCGGCCCGUGCGUGCCGGAGCAGCGGAGGGGCCCAUUACCGUUCCACCUCUCCAUCCUUUCAGCGACCCCGCACAACAGAGUCUUACAACUCAGCCCUUCAACGCGUGCCGGUGCGAGUACACAGACACGCGCACGACGCACCCACAUCGGCACACGCGCGUGCUCCAGUGUGUACCCGUGGCCCUCUUCCGCCUCUCUCAGGGCUUUGCUGUUUUUUUGUUCGCUUUCGUGUUUUGGAGCUUCCCGCAGCCGCCUUCCUGCUACCGAGCGCUCUACCCUCUGCAGAGUUUCCCAGAGGUGCGCAUCUCGCCUGUGCGCGCAGGGCUCCGUGCAGGCGCGUGCGCCUGUAGAUCUCUCGUCUCCUUUCCCUUUUUCUUUUUUUGUUCUUGACUCUUCGGCUGAGAAGCGUUACAG